rnacentral:rRNA from 1 species
GACGAACGUUGGCGGCGUGCUUAAUACAUGCAAGUCAACUGAAGCAGUGGUAGCAAUAUCGCUGUGGAGGUGGCGCACGGGUGAGUAACACGUAGGUAAUCUGCCUUCAGGUCUGGCAUAACUCCGGGAAACCGGGGCUAAUAGCAGAUGAUGCAGCGGCUCGACAUCGAGACAGUUGUUAAAGCUAUGGCGCCUGAAGAUGAGCCUGCGUCUGAUUAGCUAGUUGGCGGGGUAAAGGCCCACCAAGGCAACGAUCAGUAGCUGGUCUGAGAGGAUGAUCAGCCACAGUGGAACGGAGAAACGGUCCAGACGACGACGGGAGGCAGCAGUAAGGAAUAUUGCUCAAUGGGAGAAAUACUGAAGCAGCAACGGCGCGUGAGGGACGAAGGGCUUUUGAUUGUAAACCUCUGUAGUGAGAGAAAAAAAUCCCAAUCUUUGGGACAUGAUGGUAUCUCAAAAGUAAGCCCCGGCUAACUACGUG